rnacentral:lncRNA from 1 species
UUUUAUUCUCUAACUUGGGAAUGUACAGCAUCUAUUUUCUGAAGCCAUCAUCCCAUCACCAUUCCAAUCUUUUACGCUAUUUUCUGUGUUACUGAGAUUUCAACAGUUGUGUCUCAAUUUAAUUCUCAGUUAUUCUGUAACAAAUAACAUAUUAGUUGAGACUUAAUUAUUGAGAUAUUCGCUUUAAGGAAACCUGGGCCUAAUACUUGGGUGCUACUUUGGGCAGACAAGUAUAAGUGGAAGGAGACUACUCCGGCUUCACUUUUCCAUUUCGUCCGACUAGAAUACCACUUACAUUGUGCAAUGAUAAGCAGCUGCUUCGAUUCUACUUUCACAGGUAUUGUUAUUUGGUUUCAACACUGUAAUCUCAUAUUUACAUUAGUUAGCAUGGUAUGUGCCAAUCUCAUACCUAUUUUAGCAAGAUUUGUACGCAUUAACCCAUAUGCAUUAUUAUUAAACGGCUCGGUAACUGUCAAGACAAAUUUAGAGCACAUCUGAUCAUUUUCACCGAGUAGAGGUUAAAUUAUAAACCUUUAUCCCUUAGCCAUGUACACUACUGAAUCAUGUUUAAAGCACCCUGCAGGCAAAUAAUUCAACACCUCCAGGUCGUUGGCUUCAUCUAAAGCAUGCAAAUCAGUAUAUCAGGGACCACGUACAGGGCUAAAACAGAAACAACCCGUAGCCUGGUCUUCAGGUAUCAUCCCUCCUCCCUUGCUUGUAUCAAUCGCUUCUAACAUCUUCACCACCUCACCCAUUUCUGGACGUUUUUCUGCAUUUGCAUCCCAACAUUUUCGCAUGAUAUUUGCCAAAGAACUCGGACAACA